UACGGAGGGUGCGAGCGUUGUCCGGAAUUAUUGGGCGUAAAGGGCUCGUAGGCGGUUUGGCGCGUCGGGGGUGAAAUCCCCUGGCUUAACUGGGGGCUUGCUUUCGAUACGGGCAGACUGGAGGUAUGCAGGGGAGAACGGAAUUCCUGGUGUAGCGGUGAAAUGCGCAGAUAUCAGGAGGAACACCGGUGGCGAAGGCGGUUCUCUGGGCAUGUCCUGACGCUGAGGAGCGAAAGUGUGGGGAGCGAACAGG
rnacentral:rRNA from 1 species